AGAGUUUGAUCCUGGCUCAGGAUGAACGCUGGCGGCGUGCCUAACACAUGCAAGUCGAGCGGUAUAUACUUAAAUGAAACUUCGGUCGAGUGAGAGUAUAGAGGGCAACCUGCCCCAUACAGAGGGAUAGCCUCGGGAAACCGGGAUUAAAACCUCAUAACGCCAAGAGUUCACAUGGGCUUUUGGCCAAAGAUUUAUCGGUAUGGGAUGGGCCUGCGUCUGAUUAGCUAGUUGGUGGGGUAACGGCCUACCAAGGCAACGAUCAGUAGCCGACCUGAGAGGGUAAUCGGCCACAUUGGAACUGAGACACGGUCCAAACUCCUACGGGAGGCAGCAGUGGGGAAUAUUGCACAAUGGGCGAAAGCCUGAUGCAGCAACGCCGCGUGAGCGAUGAAGGCCUUUGGGUCGUAAAGCUCUGUCCUUGGGGGAAAGAAUGACGGUACAAUAAGAGGAAGCCACGGCUAACUACGUGCCAGCAGCCGCGGUAAUACGUAGGUGGCAAACGUUGUCCGGAAUUACUGGGCGUAAAGGGCGAGUAGGUGGUUUGGUAAGCGCGAGGUGAAAGGCUAUGGCUCAACCAUAGUAAGCCUUGCGAACUGUAAGACUUGAGUGCAGGAGAGGAAAGUGGAAUUCCUAGUGUAGCGGUGAAAUGCGUAGAUAUUAGGAGGAACACCAGUGGCGAAGGCGGCUUUCUGGACUGUAACUGACACUGAGGCACGAAAGCGUGGGGAGCAAACAGGAUUAGAUACCCUGGUAGUCCACGCCGUAAACGAUGAGUACUAGGUGUCGGGGGUAUCGAAAUUCAGUGCCGCAGCUAACGCAUUAAGUAUUCCGCCUGGGGAGUACGCUCGCAAGACUGAAACUCAAAGGAAUUGACGGGGACCCGCACAAGCAGCGGAGCAUGUGGUUUAAUUCGAAGCAACGCGAAGAACCUUACCAGAACUUGACAUCCCUCGACGUGUGGCGCUUAGCAGCGCAGGUCUUUCGGGACAGAGGAGACAGGUGGUGCAUGGUUGUCGUCAGCUCGUGUCGUGAGAUGUUGGGUUAAGUCCCGCAACGAGCGCAACCCUUAUUGCUAGUUGCCAUCAUUAAGUUGGGCACUCUAGUGAGACUGCCGGAGACAAUUCGGAGGAAGGUGGGGAUGACGUCAAAUCAUCAUGCCCCUUAUGUUCUGGGCUACACACGUGCUACAAUGGGUGUAACAACGGGAAGCAAGCUGGCAACAGCAAGCCAAUCCCUGAAAAGCACCCUCAGUUCGGAUUGUAGGCUGAAACCCGCCUACAUGAAGUUGGAGUUGCUAGUAAUCGCGAAUCAGCAUGUCGCGGUGAAUACGUUCCCGGGCCUUGUACACACCGCCCGUCACACCAUGGGAGUUGGUA
rnacentral:rRNA from 1 species